UACAGAGGGUGCAAGCGUUGUCCGGAAUCACUGGGCGUAAAGCGCGCGCAGGCGGCGAUCUACGUCUGGGGUGAAAGCCCGGAGCUCAACUCCGGGACUGCCUUGGAUACGGGAUCGCUUGAGGAUUGGAGAGGCAAGGGGAAUUCCACGUGUAGCGGUGAAAUGCGUAGAUAUGUGGAGGAACACCUGUGGCGAAGGCGCCUUGCUGGCCAAUUUCUGACGCUGAGGCGCGAAAGCGUGGGGAGCAAACAGG
rnacentral:rRNA from 1 species